GAUGAACGCUGGCGGCGUGCCUAAUACAUGCAAGUCGAGCGAACGGACGAGAAGCUUGCUUCUCUGAUGUUAGCGGCGGACGGGUGAGUAACACGUGGAUAACCGACCUAUAAGACUGGGAUAACUUCGGGAAACCGUAGCUAAUACCGGAUAAUAUUUUGAACCGCAUGGUUCAAAAGUGAAAGACGGUCUUGCUGUCACUUAUAGAUGGAUCCGCGCUGCAUUAGCUAGUUGGUAAGGUAACGGCUUACCAAGGCAACGAUGCAUAGCCGACCUGAGAGGGUGAUCGGCCACACUGGAACUGAGACACGGUCCAGACUCCUACGGGAGGCAGCAGUAGGGAAUCUUCCGCAAUGGGCGAAAGCCUGACGGAGCAACGCCGCGUGAGUGAUGAAGGUCUUCGGAUCGUAAAACUCUGUUAUUAGGGAAGAACAUAUGUGUAAGUAACUGUGCACAUCUUGACGGUACCUAAUCAGAAAGCCACGGCUAACUACGUG
rnacentral:rRNA from 1 species